rnacentral:rRNA from 1 species
CCGACGGUGAGAGGCGAAAGCUGGGGGAGCAAACCGGAUUAGAUACCCGGGUAGUCCCAGCUGUAAACGAUGCGCGUUAGGUGUGUCAGUGACCACGUGUCACUGAUGUGCCGAAGGGAAACCGUGAAACGCGCCGCCUGGGGAGUACGGUCGCAAGGCUGAAACUUAAAGGAAUUGGAGGGGGAGCACCACAACGGGUGGAGCCUGCGGUUUAAUCGGACUCAACGCCGGAAAUCUCACCGGAUAA